UUUACACAUGAAGAUUCAGAGGCAUAAGGAGGUUAAGUGACAUCUCCAAAGUCUUAUGGGUAGUAAGUGGCAGAACCCAGAAUUUGAGCUUAGAUGGUCUAAUUCUAGAAUCUGUUCUCUUAAUUCUUUGCUCAUUGCUUUAAAUAAUCAUAUAGAAUGCCUGAGUCCAUACCACAAAUAUACAUAAGAGGACACCUGAAAAGCAAUGAAAAAAACAGGUGUCCAAGAAACCCCAUUUAACACCAUCUGGCUGGGUGAUAAAAGGCAACAUAAAUACUUUUCAUUGGAUUGGAAUUUUGCAAUUCUCAAGUGAUUUAACAUAUAUUCUAACAUUUAGUUGCAACUUUUUGAGGGUGAUGCAAGUUAUUUUUAAUUCUAUUUUAUAAAUGACUGAAUGUAAAAGAGGCGAAGUCUCACUUUAAUAAGUUGACCUUUUCUAUGGAUGGAUUUUAUCCCUACCCAAGUCCUCUAUCCAUCAGGAACACAGCUUUAAUUUCUGAUCAGUUCAGUGCAGAAACAAUGAGCCCUUGGAGACCUAAGUCAUGAGUUCAACUAAUGAUCAUUGGUUCUCAAGUGAGGCUACUUUUGGUUGUCCCAGCAGUGACACUGAGGGGUGCUACUAGCAUCAACGAGGUAUGUCUAGGGAUGCUACUCAACAUCCUACCACACAUAGGAUACCCUGCCCAACAAAUGCCUUACCUAAAAUAUCCAUAUGCUGAGAUCUAUUCCAAAAUAUGUGUUCUAUAUUCUAUUCAUUUUUUUUGCUUCUAUCAAUUUGACA
rnacentral:lncRNA from 1 species